rnacentral:misc_RNA from 1 species
GAUGAAGAACGCAGCGAAAUGCGAUAAGUAGUGUGAAUUGCAGAAUUCAGUGAAUCAUCGAAUCUUUGAACGCACAUUGCGCCCUUUGGUAUUCCUUAGGGUAUGCCUGUUCGAGCGUCAUUUAAACCUUCAAGCUAAGCUUGGUGUUGGGUGACUGUCCGCUUCACGGCGGACUCGCCUCAAAAUUAUUGGCGGCCGGUACAUUGGCUUCGAGCGCAGCAGAAACGCGAACUCGGGCCCGUCGUAUUGGCUCCCAGAAGCUAUCUUCACAAUUUUGACCUCGGAUCAGGUAGGGAUACCCGCUGAACUUAAGCAUAUCAAUAAGCGGAGGA